rnacentral:misc_RNA from 1 species
GGCUCAUGUACCUGAUGCUGCUAACUUCAGAUCUGUGUUUAUGAAUAUGCACCAAAUUCUUGAGGCUAUGAGACGGGGGAACCUGGAGCCAGCUCUAAGUUGGGCUGCGUCACAGCACGAACAGCUACUAAUGAACGGGUCAGACCUUGAACUGAAGCUUCACCGAUUACAGUUUUUGGACAAGGUGGAGAAGGGGAAGCGGGAUG